AGACGGAGUCUCGUUCUGCAUGUAGCCCAGCCUGGAGUACAGUGGCAUGAUCUUGGCUCACUGCAGCCUCCGCCUCCCAGGUCCCAGUUCAAGCAAUUCUCCUGCCUCAGCAUCCCAGGUAGCUGAGAUUACAGGCAUGUGCCACCAUGCCCAGCUAAUUUUUGUAUUUUUAGUAGAAACAGAGUUUCACCAUGUUGGUCAGGCUGGUCUUGAACUCCUGACCUCGUGAUCCGCCCACCUCGGCUUCCCAAAGUGCUGGGAUUACAGGUGUGAGCCACCGUGCCUGGCCAACAAUAAUGCUUAUAUAUUAGAAGGUAAAAUGCUACAGGGGGUUGUAUUUGGUAGCAGUUAAGUAGACAGGGAUAAACAGACAGUUGGAAGACAACUCUUUAUUGAUUUCUUGCAUUUCUGCAUAUCUUGCAAGUAAAGCACUGACUGCCUGUUACUCUAGACUACCUUUUCAAGAAUGUUUAUCUAGUGAGCAGCCUUGGAAGAUAAUGAUAGUAUUUUCCUCCUUAGGAAAAGAAAAGGCAGGCAUUCUUGCUGUCCAUUAUAAAAUAUUUGGGUUCCCUAAGCUCAGGACUCUUCUGUAUUGCAACUCAAUGUUUUUUGUAGGCAUUUCCCUGGGCCUGUCUUGGUAUGGAUAAGAUAAUUCGAUAACUAGAAAAGGUAGGAAAGUAAUUGGAACAUGUAGGAUUCUCCAAACUGAUGGCUUUACAAAUGUUUUAAAUUUUGCUUCACUUUAAAGAACUACCCGUAGAGCUCUCAGACCCAUGUAUUAUAGCUGUGGUUUAAACAAGGAAGAUAUGUAAUUCUAAUUGACAGAUUUAUACUCGAUGAUAAGGCUUUCCAUCAAAAGAUUGGAGAUAUAUGUAUAUUUCAGUUGUAAUAAAAUGUUUAACAUAUUGUUUUGGUUUCCUACUUGAACUGAUUUUUCUUUUGAAGAGCUGACUUUUUCCUGAUUAGGUAGGAUCAAAGGGUUUUAAUUGAAGUUGAAAAACCUUAGAAAACUGUAAUUAAUGUACUUUAUUGAUUGGUUGUAGUUAUUGUAAGUUGCCUCAUGUUGCACAAUCCCCCCCCACCCCGGCCCACCACCCUCCUUAAUUUAUUACUCUUAAAGUUGAGGUGGUACCGUAUACCUUACAUUCUUUUGCAUUGCAGUGAUUAUGUCAGCAAUAUAUAGACAGCAGGUAAAACUGCUGGCUGUUAGAUUGUAGAAUAUUAGAAUUUUAAUGAGUGUCAGUAAUUGACAUUUUAGCCUCAUAAUUUUACUUAUGAGGAAACUGAGGUCCAGAGGUGUAAAGUGGUUCACACUUAGUUCUCAAUAGAGCUCUGGACUUAAAAAUGAGAUUUACUGGCCAGGCAUGGUGGCUCACACCUGUAAUCCCAGCAUUUUGGGAGGCUGAGACGGUGGAUCACCUGAGGUCAGGAGUUCGAGACCAGCCUGGCCAACAUGGUGAAACCCUGUCUCUACUAAA
rnacentral:lncRNA from 1 species